CUGUAGUUUUCUGUCUACGUGGGCAAAAUCUGCCUAGGGAACACUAAGUGUUCUCUGCAGAAAAGCAGCUCGUUUUUCUGUGGAGAAAAGCGACACCCCAAGCGUGCUGAUGUCUGUCCCCGGCACAGAGGGACAGACCGAUGGCGAGAGUGGAGUGCCAAUGGGGAACGCACACCUACUCCAGACAGCACAGAUCCCGGGUUCCGAGUUCGACAAGUCACUAAUCCACACCGUAUGUGUUACUCCCUUGAAACUUGCAAAUCACCUUGGUGCCUGAGAGACCCUCUCCCGAGCCGGCUCCUGGAGGAGGCCCACUGCUGCGACAGCGCCUUGAAUUGAAUUUGGCUGUAAAGGAACACAAAAUGUUUAUGACAUCCACAUGUGCAAGCAACUGUUGCCAUGUUGCUAUUUAUAUAACCAUUUUACUGCAUAGCACAAGCUGAAGAAUAGAAAAAGCCAUUUCCAGUAUGUGUGUGUGCACGCAUGCAUGUAGGACAAUAGAAAAUGUUUGAUCAAGCAGCAACAAAAAUAUGUCUGAAAACUUGGAGCUUUAUUUAGAAUUUAAUUUACACUGAGUACUCGUUAGCAGAAAUAGUCAUUGUAAAUUACAUGCAACUGAUACACAAAGAGCAAAAGUUGUGUGUGCAAAUAUAUGAAUAAGCUGUCCCUCAUGGAAUUAAUUAUGUGCAUGCCUUCGCUUGUUCAGACCACUGAAGCUAGAUGUAGUAUGUAUAAUGGAGGAAUGGAACUACAGUACAAGUAUUACAUUGCAAAUAUUUAAUUUUCUUGGAAAAAUUAUGUGGGUGGCUUCCAUUUCAGCUAGGUAGCUUUAAACAAAUAGAAACCUCAACUAAGAAAGACUAGACAUCAUAAAGGGAUAAAACUGACAACAGAAAUGUCUUUAAUACCUUAUUUUAGCUUCUAAAAAUAUCUCUAGGGUAUUUAAAAUCAUAAAAAGAGGAAAUCAAUGGAGAAGAAGAAACUGGUACAGAGAUCCGUAUUUUUUUCAUUCUACAUUCAAGUUCAAUGUUUUCAAUCAACAAGACAGAUCUAUCAUUUUAGAAUUGCAAAAGACAAGAUGAUUAUUAAAGAAAACUUUGAUAAUAACAGUGACAUAUCAACUAGUCCAAUUAACAUGAUAGGACAGGCAAAUUCAGUAAUAAAGGAUGGGGAGAGAGAGAGGGAGGGAACCACUGGAAAGUAUUUUGUGCGUUCUGUCACAGAGGUGGGACAUACAAGGGUUGAGGUUUGUUCAGAUAUGUUUUGGGGGUUUGAGGUGCUUAUCUCUUUUAACUGGUAACUACAGACUUAGUCUGGAUGGAGACUUUAAAUGGAGACUUUAAAAUUCAGUAAAUUUAAUAUCUUUUUCUUUCUGCAUCUGCAAAUUGAUACUUAAAAUCCCCACCAAGUUUAAAGGAACUUGAGCAGAAAAUGAGUAUUUUUUUUUGUUCGGACUGAACAAUCACCAUGUUUUACACUAGCUUGGUGGUGUUUUUUGUUUCCAAAAUACAUAAUCUGUCACCUAUGUAGUCCUAUUCCUGGAUUGCUGUCCAUAAAUGAUCAAAUGAGAUUAGCUCAGUUGGUUAGAGCAUGGUGCUAAUAACACCAAGGUCGUGGGUUUGAUCCGUGAUGGGCCAUUUACGUAAGAGUUGGACUUGCUGAUCCUUGUGGGUCCCUUCCAACUCAGAAUAUUGUGUGAAAUUUCUGUGAAAUGAUCACACAUCCUUCAGGUUACCCAGAAUAAUGACUGACUUGCUGUACAUGUUUUUCCAAAAAGUUCUCAUUAUGUUUAUGUAGUAAAAAUACUUAAUGUUCUUAUA